rnacentral:tRNA from 2 species
GCCACCCUAGCUCAGUUGGUAGAGCAGCCGCCUCGUAAGCGGCAGGUCGUCGGUUCGACUCCGAUGGGUGGCUCAA